rnacentral:rRNA from 1 species
UGGGGAAUAUUGGACAAUGGGGGCAACCCUGAUCCAGCCAUGCCGCGUGAGUGAUGAAGGCCCUAGGGUUGUAAAGCUCUUUUGUGCGGGAAGAUAAUGACGGUACCGCAAGAAUAAGCCCCGGCUAACUUCGUGCCAGCAGCCGCGGUAAUACGAAGGGGGCUAGCGUUGCUCGGAAUCACUGGGCGUAAAGGGUGCGUAGGCGGGUUUCUAAGUCAGAGGUGAAAGCCUGGAGCUCAACUCCAGAACUGCCUUUGAUACUGGAAGUCUUGAGUAUGGCAGAGGUGAGUGGAACUGCGAGUGUAGAGGUGAAAUUCGUAGAUAUUCGCAAGAACACCAGUGGCGAAGGCGGCUCACUGGGCCAUUACUGACGCUGAGGCACGAAAGCGUGGGGAGCAAACAGGAUUAGAUACCCUGGUAGUCCACGCCGUAAACGAUGAGUGCCAGCCGUUAGUGGGUUUACUCACUAGUGGCGCAGCUAACGCUUUAAGCAUUCCGCCUGGGGAGUACGGUCGCAAGAUUAAAAACUC